UACAGAGGUCCCAAGCGUUGUUCGGAUUCACUGGGCGUAAAGGGUGCGUAGGUGAUGAGGUAAGUCGGAUGUGAAAUCUCCAAGCUCAACUUGGAAACUGCAUUGGAAACUACCUUGCUAGAGGAUUUGAGGGGGGAUUGGAAUACUUGGUGUAGCAGUGAAAUGCGUAGAUAUCAAGUGGAACACCAGUGGCGAAGGCGAAUCCCUGGAAAAUACCUGACACUGAGGCACGAAAGCUAGGGGAGCAAACAGG
rnacentral:rRNA from 1 species